UAAGGAUGUCUCUACAAUGGGUUUCGAAUUUGAUAUCAUCAAAUCCAGUUCUGUGGGUUCAUUAGACUAUGUCGGUCCUUCUUCUUGUCGAACUUUGUUAAGCUCGAUUUUAAAGGUAUUUAUUCCUUCAUUAAAGAACUUCUUUUUCAAAAAGUGUGCUUUACUGUUGAUAAAUACUUUUUGUUCAGCAUGAAGAUAAAAAUAAUAUUUUCUCAUUUCCUUGAGAUAUCCUAUGAAGUUACACUUAUCGGAC
rnacentral:lncRNA from 1 species